rnacentral:rRNA from 1 species
GGGUUAAAAAGUACGUGAAAUUGUUGAAAGGGAAGCGCCUAUGACCAGACUUGGGCCCGGUGAAUCAUCCAGCGUUCUCGCUGGUGCACUUUGCCGGGCACAGGCCAGCAUCAGUUUGGCGCGGGGGAAAAAGGUUUUGGGAAUGUGGCUCCCUCGGGAGUGUUAUAGCCCAUUGCGUAAUACCCUGCGCCGGACUGAGGUACGCGCAUCGCAAGGAUGCUGGCGUAAUGGUCAUCAGCGACCCGUCUUGAAACACGGACCAAGGAGUCGUCUUCGUAUGCGAGUGUUCGGGUGUCAAACCCCUACGCGUAAUGAAAGUGAACGCAGGUGAGAGCUUCGGCGCAUCAUCGACCGAUCCUGAUGUUCUCGGAUGGAUUUGAGUAAGAGCAUACGGGGCCGGACCCGAAAGAAGGUGAACUAUGCCUGUAUAGGGUGAAGCCAGAGGAAACUCUGGUGGAGGCUCGCAGCGGUUCUGACGUGCGAAUCGAUCGUCAAAUAUGGGCAUGGGGGCGAAAGACUAAUCGAACCUUCUAGUAGCUGGUUUC